AGACACGCGUCUGUUUGCUUGCAGAUGUGCACACACUGUCUCCGGCUUCUUCUGUGGCUUGGUAGAAGCCCCAGCUUUUUAACUUAUUAAGCACAGCUCUUCCCUCUGUAGGACUGCAGGCAGGACAGUCCUCUUCCCGGGCUCACCGCAACAUUCAGUAGCUGCUUUGAAGGAACAGAAUAAGGUUGCCACAUGCCAGUCUGUCCUCCGAUCACUUCAGGGUUCCACUCACCGUGGGUUCAAGGCUUCUUUGAUUCUUUGUUUCCUUUAGUUUUCAUUCUCUCCUCUUCAGAACAAGAGUAGAUGGUUCGGUGUAUGCAAAUAUCACAGUUCCAGGUAACUUGAAGGAGCAGUUUGGAUUUAGGUAUUCAUUCUUACUUUUAUAGGACUGUAGAUAUCUCUUUAUGCAAAUAAGACUUACUAUUGUAUUAUAAGAGCAAUAACCAUGCACUGCUUCAAAUGACAUCAUUUACAUUUUUAUUUUUGCAAUAAGAAUAUAUUUAGGCAACAGAAUCAAUGCUGCUUUUUGAGAGGUAUUUUCUAAUUUCUAAUGUUGAUGGGUUCAAAGACUUGCUAUGAGUACAUGGGUCACAGACACCACCUCAUGCAAAGCAGAAAGGAAAUAAAUCAAGGAAUGAGAACGAGAGCCAACACCAUUCUUUCUUUCUUUUUUUUUUUUUUUGAGACAGAGUCUUACUCUGUUGCCCAGGCUGGAGUGAAGUGGUGCAAUCUUGGCUCACUGCAACCUCUGCCUCCCGGGUUCACACCAUUCUCCUGCCUCAGCCUCCCGAGUAGCUGGGACUACAGGCGCGUGCUACCAUGCCCAGCUAAUUUUUUGUAUUAUUAGUAGAGACAGGGUUUCAUCAUGUUGGCCAGGAUGGUCUCGAUCUCCUGACCUUGUGACCUCCUGACCUCGUGAUCUGCCUGCCUCGGCCUCCCAAAGUGCUGGGAUUACAGGCAUGAGCCACCGCGCCUGGCCGCGCCAACACCAUUCUGCCCAGUUGUCAAUUAAGACUUUCACUCUUAAGCAGAGUGAAGGGUAAAACCUAAAGGAUUUUUCUCACAGUUGUACUCUGAUUGUUUGUGGAAACCAAAGGAAAGAGUCAUUGGUUCUGAUGAAAGGUUAGAAAAGCUUUUGGGAGGAGAUGGCAUUGAACCCUGAUGAGUGGGUCAUUUGGGUAAACUAAAAAGUGGUGGUGGGGAAAGGAGGAGGGACGUAAAGGGGGAGCAGACCCCUUGGCCCACUGCCCGUGUCCCCUUGGCUUUUCACUGGUGCAAGCUGAACUUGCAUGCCGAAGAGUCCAUGUCCCUCCCGCCCA
rnacentral:lncRNA from 1 species